rnacentral:rRNA from 4 species
GACUCGGUGACUAUACUGGCGUUGUACUACCUGAUCCCAUUCCGAACUCAGAAGUAAAAGACGCCAAGGCCCAUGAUAGUUGGAUUUAUCCAGCGAAAGUAGGUAGUCGCCGGAUC